GUACAUCGGGCACCCACGUCUGUCAUGUCAACGCCGAGUGUGUGAACAACAUAGGAAGUUUUACGUGUGUAUGCCUAGCUGGAUAUACUGGUAAUGGAUUUGACUGCGUUGAUAUCGACGAAUGUACAUCGGGCACCCACGUCUGUCAUGUCAACGCCGAGUGUGUGAACAACAUAGGAAGUUAUACGUGUGUAUGCCUAGCUGGAUAUACUGGUAAUGGAUUUGACUGCGUUGAUAUCGACGAAUGUACAUCGGGCACCCACGUCUGUCAUGUCAACGCCGAGUGUGUGAACAACAUAGGAAGUUAUACGUGCGUAUGCCUAGCUGGAUAUACUGGUAAUGGAUUUGACUGCGUUGAUAUCGACGAAUGUACAUCGGGCACCCACGUCUGUCAUGUCAACGCCGAGUGUGUGAACAACAUAGGAAGUUAUACGUGUGUAUGCCUAGCUGGAUAUACUGGUAAUGGAUUUGACUGCGUUGAUAUCGACGAAUGUACAUCGGGCACCCACGUCUGUCAUGUCAACGCCGAGUGUGUGAACAACAUAGGAAGUUAUACGUGUGUAUGCCUAGCUGGAUAUACUGGUAAUGGAUUUGACU